CAACAGACCGGGAUGGGGUCGUUGGGUGAUCAAGAAUGCCCAUGGCCAAGGUCAAAGUCCUCCAUUCCACUUUGGUGGUGCCUUGGCCUUCGGACUGCUCGUUGUAGCAGUGCCUACGUCCUACUUUUUGGCAGCAGGGCCCCGCAUUCGUGUGGCCCUUAA
rnacentral:snRNA from 1 species